GUGAUCAUUACUGAGCGCAGAAUAUCUAGCAUGGAGUUGAGACUGAGCUGGGUCUUCCUUGUUGUUCUUUUCAAAGGUGUCCAGUGUGAGGUGCAGCUGGUGGAGUCUGGGGGAGGCCUGAUGCAUCCUGGAAAGUCCCUGAAACUCUCCUGUGCAGCCUCUGGAUUCACAUUCAGUAACUACUGGAUGAACUGGGUUCGCCAGGUUCCAGGGAAGGGGCUGGAGUGGGUUGCUCUAAUUAUGGACAAAGUUAAUAAUUACGAAGCACGCUAUGUGGAGUCUGUGAAAGGCAGAUUCACCAUCUCAAGAGAUGAUUCCAAAAGCAGCAUCUACCUGCAAAUGAACAGCUUAAAACCCGAAGACACGGCCAUUUAUUAUUGUACUAGAAACACAGUGAGAGAUCUUCAGUGUAAACCCAGACACAAACCUCCUUGCAGGAGCGCUUAG